UUUUUUUAAACAGAAAGGCUUAUUGCAAAAAAAAAGGGAGAAAACAAAUAAUCCUACAGCAGAUGCCCGGGGGCUGCAGAUACAGCAUGUUCUAUUCCAAGCCAAAAAAAAAAAAAGAGAGUAAAUCUCAAAGUCCCAGUAAGAGUGAUGGGGAAGCGGGGAGACAGCAGCAAUGGGCAGAAGGGACUUGUUCUGCCAUUACGCACCAGGUCAUGCAGCAUCCACCAGCUCUACCCCAGGAGCCAGCUCCUGGGAGGGGCAAUGGGAAGGUUUUGCCAUGGGGCUGAUAGGCUUCCCCAAAAUGAAUGACCCCCACCCAAAGGCCACUGCCCCAGCCUGGAUGCCAUGUGCACACCUGCCAGCUUCCUGACCCGGGAUAGACAAGUGCCACCCCAGCAGGACUUUCUACUUGUGAGUAGUAGUCCUGCAUCCCCCUGAGCUGUGUGUGUGCGCUCUUAGCCCACCUGGCUUGCUUGGCUGAGUGAUGGAGGGGCUGGGGGAAGGCACUUGAGUCUUGCUAGCACCUGCAGCCCCAGGAGGGGGACCGGUGUAGGGUGAUGCAAGUUGGGGAGGGGUGCAGGGACAUCCCAGGAAUUGGGGGAUGCAGGAAUUGCACCCCAGUGCUGGGCCUGGGGAGAAGUGGCAGGGGUUGUUAUUUUGUGCAAUCCCUGCAGGUAUCUUUGCUCCCCAGCUCAGACCUGCUACAUAUCCUGUGAUCCCCUGCCAGGGUCCUGGGCUAGACUCUGAUCUUAGGGGGAGGAGGUGGCGUGGGAGCCCUUUAGCCCAGGCAGGAUGCAUGGGUGGGCAGCAGAGGAAUGCAUCCUGUGCUUUCCCUGGCUGGCUGCACCGAUCCUGGCUGCGAGUGUUUGCUGUUCCAACAUCCUGGACCCCGACUCAGCUCGGGGUUGUUCCUAGGGAGCACCUCCACAGAGGAGAGACCACAGCCAUCCUUCUGGGACAGGAGGCAAAGCAACAAUCAUCCUUCACCUUUCUGGGGGGACCAUCCUGAUGUAGGAGCCCAGUCUCAAGGAGGGCAAUUCUGGGCAAAGAAACCCAGAAACCAUCCCCCUGCCACUCAGAAAAGAGGAAGAAAAGUUUCUGGAGAGCCAGCCCGGCCUGGCAACCCUCUUCCAGGCAGUCAGGAGAGCUGGAGGGACCCAUGCCUUUCCCAGCAAACAAGCCCCUAUUGUGCACCAGUAUGUGUGAGAGGGAACACGCCAGACCUGCACUGAAACACGGGACACACGAGCUUCCCCCCCACCUCUAGCUGGAGUACAAAGCACAGCCUUAAACCCGAGCCUGCUCCCAACAUUUGUGUUUACCCCUGGGAGAAAAAGAGUGAUUUUCUUUGCUAGGAAUUUUUUCCCUUUAAAAAAAAAAAAGUGGGGGUGGUGAUUGAAACAGCUCAGUACCGCGGCUCAGGAUCUGGAGAGAGGAAAGGAAGACAAAAGAGAUGCCUCUGAAGGCGAGCGGCUCGGGCUUUUUAUGGGCGAGCGGUGACAAGGCGGCUUCAAGGUUGGAGUGUCCUUUGAUAAGGCGAAGUAUUUUGGCAACCCAGCUGGGAAUAAUGAAGAAAACGCGGACCCUAGCACCCGAGUGUUUGCAGCGGAAAGCAGCCGGGAUGGUGAGCUUGGCUCUGCAUUUCCCCCCCUCCAUAACAUCUCCCACCCCUCUAGAUUCCGUUCUCAACUGAUGAGAAACACUUGAAAAAUGCAAGCGCCAUUGGCAAACGAAGGACAACCCGGCAGAAUUUUUAUUAGCAACGAAAUGAUGCAUGGCAUACAUACCCCACCGCCACCAUUACAGCCUCCUGCAGGAUCCGCGUGUGAAACCGUGCAACAUGGAGCAACUGGGGCUUUUAAAGCCGCAUCACUGCCAUUAAGCCCAUUUUAUAUAUAUAUAAUAUAUCGUCUAUCUAGUUCUAGACAUGUUUUUUUGGUUUGUUUUCCACGGGAGAAGGAGCCUGGUGCAGCAGGGCCCGGGCUCUCCUCUCCGGGCUGCUUCUUUAGGUGCAGGGCUUGGUGGUUGUUUGUAAGGAAAGUGCAUUUAAAAACUGGCGGCGUUUGGAGGGUUUGUUGGGGGUUUGUUUUUUUUCCCCUCCUUUUUAAAAAAAAAAAAAAAAAAA